rnacentral:rRNA from 1 species
GACGAACGCUGGCGGCGUGCUUAACACAUGCAAGUCGAAUGAAGAGCGAUGGAAGCUUGCUUCUAUCAAUCUUAGUGGCGAACGGGUGAGUAACACGUAAUCAACCUGCCCUUCAGAGGGGGACAACAGUUGGAAACGACUGCUAAUACCGCAUACGAUCUAACCUCGGCAUCGAGGAUAGAUGAAAGGUGGCCUCUAUUUAUAAGCUAUCACUGAAGGAGGGGAUUGCGUCUGAUUAGCUAGUUGGAGGGGUAACGGCCCACCAAGGCGAUGAUCAGUAGCCGGUCUGAGAGGAUGAACGGCCACAUUGGGAUGAGACACGGCCCAGACUCCUACGGGAGGCAGCAGUGGGGAAUCUUCCGCAAUGGACGAAAGUCUGACGGAGCAACACCGCGUGAGUGAUGACGGCCUUCGGGUUGUAAAGCUCUGUUAAUCGGGACGAAAGGCCUUC